rnacentral:rRNA from 1 species
CAGUCGCCGCGGGAAUACGAACCGUGCGAACGUUAUUCGGAAUCACUGGGCUUAAAGCGCGUGUAGGCGGGCCGCCACGUCGGCUGCUGAAAUCCCCCGGCUCAACCGGGGAAGUGGCACCGAUACGAGCGGCCUGGAGGGGGGUAGGGGGGACUGGAACUUCCGGUGGAGCGGUGAAAUGCGUUGAGAUCGGAAGGAACGCCCGUGGCGAAAGCGAGUCCCUGGACCCUUACUGACGCUGAGACGCGAAAGCCAGGGGAGCGAACGGGAUUAGAUACCCGCGUAGUCCCUGUCUCUUAUU